CCUACGGGAGGCAGCAGUGGGGAAUAUUGCGCAAUGGGCGAAAGCCUGACGCAGCGACGCCGCGUGAGGGAUGAAGGUCUUCGGAUCGUAAACCUCUGUCAGCAGGGAAGAACGGUCACUGUGCUAAUCAGCAGUGAAUUGACGGUACCCUGAAAACAAGCCACGGCUAACUACGUGCCAGCAGCCGCGGUAAUACGUAGGUGGCAAGCGUUGUCCGGAUUUACUGGGUGUAAAGGGCGUGUAGCCGGGAAGGCAAGUCAGAUGUGAAAUCUGGAGGCUCAACCUCCAAAUUGCAUUUGAAACUGUUUUUCUUGAGUACUGGAGAGGCAGACGGAAUUCCUUGUGUAGCGGUGAAAUGCGUAGAUAUAAGGAGGAACACCAGUGGCGAAGGCGGUCUGCUGGACAGCAACUGACGGUGAGGCGCGAAAGCGUGGGGAGCAAACAGGAUUAGAUACCCUAGUAGUC
rnacentral:rRNA from 1 species